rnacentral:rRNA from 1 species
GUAGUCAUAUGCUUGUCUCAAAGAUUAAGCCAUGCAUGUCUAAGUAUAAGCAAUCUAUACAGUGAAACUGCGAAUGGCUCAUUAAAUCAGUUAUCGUUUAUUUGAUAGUGCCUUACUACAUGGAUAACCGUGGUAAUUCUAGAGCUAAUACAUGCUAAAAACCCCGACCUCUGGAAGGGGUGUAUUUAUUAGAUAAAAAACCAAUGGCUUCGGCCUCUAUGGUGAAUCAUAAUAACUUCACGAAUCGCAUGGCCUUGCGCCGGCGAUGGUUCAUUCAAAUUUCUGCCCUAUCAACUUUCGAUGGUAGGAUCGUGGCCUACCAUGGUUGCAACGGGUAACGGGGAAU